UACGGGGGGAGCAAGCGUUGUUCGGAUUUACUGGGCGUAAAGGGCGGGUAGGCGGCCACCGCAAGUCAGUUGUGAAAUCUCUGGGCUUAACCCAGAAAGGUCAACUGAUACUGCGGGGCUAGAGUGCAGAAGGGGCAACUGGAAUUCUCGGUGUAGCGGUGAAAUGCGUAGAUAUCGAGAGGAACACCGGUGGCGAAGGCGGUUCUCUGGGCCUUACCUGACGCUGAGGAGCGAAAGCGUGGGGAGCGAACAGG
rnacentral:rRNA from 1 species